UACAGAGGUCUCAAGCGUUGUUCGGAUUCAUUGGGCGUAAAGGGUGCGUAGGCGGCGUCUUAAGUCGGGUGUGAAAUCUCGGGGCUCAACUCCGAAAUUGCAUUCGAUACUGCGGUGCUUGAGGACUGGAGAGGAGACUGGAAUUCACGGUGUAGCAGUGAAAUGCGUAGAUAUCGUGAGGAAGACCAGUGGCGAAGGCGGGUCUCUGGACAGUUCCUGACGCUGAGGCACGAAGGCCAGGGGAGCAAACGGG
rnacentral:rRNA from 1 species